AUGGCAACUGUAGUGCCUUUUGCGUCCUGUUAUGGAAACAGCACCCUCCAUCAGCCUCUCCAACUCUUUGGGAAGGGCCCUAAGUGUGGCUACAUGUCCCUCAUUGCCUACCGUAGCCCUCAUAAUGUCCCCCGCCCGCGUUUGGCAUGCAAUGCCCCUAAAUUGACUCUAUGUCAGAUCUGCAGAAUGCUGCGUGUGAUGCGUUUUGAGGCUGCUGCUGCAGCCAACAACAGGAAGCAAGCAUCUUCUCCUCCACCACCUAGCUCUCCGGCCAAGUCAAACAGGAGAUGUCUGCCUUCCUGCUUUCGCCACAGACGUAAUACUAGUAACAUAAAGAGUUUUGGAUGA
rnacentral:lncRNA from 13 species